rnacentral:rRNA from 1 species
UACGUAGGGGGCAAGCGUUGUCCGGAAUCACUGGGCGUAAAGCGCGCGCAGGCGGUCAUCUACGUCUGGGGUGAAAGCCCGGAGCUCAACUCCGGGAUUGCCUUGGAUACGGGAUGACUUGAGGAUCGGAGAGGCAAGGGGAAUUCCACGUGUAGCGGUGAAAUGCGUAGAGAUGUGGAGGAACACCUGUGGCAAAGGCGCCUUGCUGGCCGAUUUCUGACGCUGAGGCGCGAAAGCGUGGGGAGCAAACAGG